GGGGCUCUCCCGUUCCCCGGCCCCGGGCACGGUUCUCCGGGCGCCGGGAAGCUGCACGGGGCCCUCAGGGCCGGCCCGGGCCGCGUCACCCUCCCAGGGGUGUCACCCUCCCAGGGGUGUCACCCUCCCAGGGGUGUCACCUUCCCAGCGUGUCACCCUCCCAGGGGUGUCACCCUCCCAGCGGGUCACCCUCCCAUGGGUGUCACCUUCCCAGCGUGUCACCCUCCCAGGGGUGUCACCCUCCCAGGGGUGUCACCUUCCCAGCGGGUCACCCUCCCAGGGUUGUCACCUUCCCAGCGUGUCACCUUCCCAGCGGGUCACCCUCCCAGGGUUGUCACCUUCCCAGCUGUCACCCUCCCAGGCCCAGCCCUGCCUCCGAGCCAGCCGAGCCCCGGGCACGCCAUUCCAGCGCGGGGCCCUCAGGCCGGGUCACCCUCCCGGGGCCGGCCCAGGCCUCGGUGGCACCCGCGAGUCCUGGGGAACCGAGCGGGCUCAUCCCGGGACAAGGAUGCUCCCACCAGCAGCACCUGCUCCGAAGCACUGCCGGGAUAUUCCACAUUCCACACGUUCUGGAUCACGUUCAGCACUAGUCGGGCUGGAUGGGAACAAAAAGCGCUACAAACUCUGCUUCAGAGGAAAUGUGUUCAUUGCCCUGAAGAAUGUGGGAAAACAUGCAGCCCUCUGAAGAUUCCCUUGUGCAGCUCUGGGACUGGUCUGGCUGGAUUUUCUGUUGCUUACUUUAUAAAUACAUGAAAGAGGUGUAAACUAAUCCAGCAUCCCAGACUUGUUUUGUGCUGCUGUGCCCACAACCUCUGCUCAGGGCCGGUGCAGAGCUGUAGAGAAAGGCAGCACCUGGAAGAAAACACCAUCACAGCCAGGUACAUGUUCUGAGGGAUGGGAGAACUUUUUAAGUGCCAGAUGUGCAGCCUUCAUCCCUGAUAGCUGAGAGUCUGGUUCAUUUUCCACAUACUUCUUCCUGUAAUACCCCUGAGACUGAAUAGGACUUUUACUCCCAUUUUUUCAGUGCAGAGGUAGGAAAUGCUGAGCCAAAUUCAUUGAGGAUGCCUGUAGACAGAGGAUAAAGUGAAGGUCUGGUCUCCCAAGUGUUUUUUGACUCCCUGAAAGCAACUAUAUCAGUUAGGACUGACAGCCCUCUUAAAAAUGUAUCAGGUUCAUCUUGGAAAUCGUUGUCAGUCUUAAUUUGACCAUAAUUAUUCAUGAAAACUCAGAUUUUGUGUCCUAUAUGUCCACCAGAAUGCAUUUUCAUGAUAAAUUGAAAAAAAGCCCAUUUCUUGAGAUGGAAAAAAGAUUCCAAUUGACUUGUGGUUAAGUUUGUCAGAGAAAGAGUUUACUUAACUCUGUUUGUUCAGGAUACAAACACUGUUAACCAGAGCUCACUUUCAUUAUUCCUUGUGAGACCACUGAAGAACAAAAAGUCUUUUCAUUGUGCUGAAUACAUGAAAUAUUCAGUUAAAUCUGGGAAAUUUCACUGGCUUUCAAUCAUCUUGCUGACUUGUCAGAGCAGAAGGUGUGCCAAGGAUAGAGGACUUUGUAUUUUACCCUGUGUUCUUUCUGUCUCCUUAUUUUUUUGGCUUGGAAAACAAUGGAAGAAAGAUAAGGUUGAAGGACUAUAAAGCAAUUAAGAACUUUAUGUGUCAUUUUGAUGGAGUCAGUGGUUAGGCUUCACUCACAGACCAGGCUUUGAUGAAAUCAGUGAAAGGCUUUGCUCCUGACACUGAAACCCUACACGAGUUCUUUUAAAUCCAUGGAAUUCUGUAUCUGUUGCAUGUGAAAACUGUGUUACACAGCAGAUGCCUGGUUAAAGCAAAAUUAGGGACAGAAAGUGAGAAAAAAAAAAUCAUAAUUACUUUUUCCCUCCUAUUCUUCCUGCCUUUCAAGCUAUGCACGUCCAGCUGCUGCUUUCCUCCUUGCUAGUGCACCAGAGCACAUUUUACAUUUGAAGGUGCAGUUCUGGGGUUGAUGUUUCUGAAUGGUUACCUGAACAAUGGUUAAUCCCUGGGGCCAGGAUAACCCAUCUGUCCCUUUCAUUCCAGGCAGAAAUCCCUGGUGCUUCCCAGAGCCUUCUGCCCAUGCUGUCCUCUGCAUCCCUCACGUGUGUCCCACUCCUGUGGCACCAGCCACCUCCCAGCUCUAUGUUCCACUCCUCCCAGAGAUCACUGUGUUCUUUUCUGCUCAGCCUAUGGCAGAAGUCUCAGAUAAAAUCACCUGUAUGAAUUACAGGUCAGUGAAGCAGAUUUGAGAUGACCAGACCCCUUUGGAUAAUUUAAUUUUUAGGGGCCAAACUUGCAAAAAUCAGACCUGCCUGAUGCUUCCAUCUGUAACUGAGGCCUUGACUUAGAAUCAACUGUGUUUAGUGGAACAGCAGAUGACAAAUUUAGAGCAUUUUAAGCAAGUGUUGAGAUGUGAACAUGAUGGAUUCACCUACAGAAAAUGGAAGCUAGACACUCUGUUUCUGUGGUGACAUUUCUAAAGAGGCAAUUCCAUGCCACAGAAUGAAAUGGUGCCUGAUUUUAGUGAUGAGCUAUGUCAGGGUGUACAACCACACAGUUCCCUCCUCUGUUCAGGUCCCACACUUGGAAGUUGUGAAGUUUUGAAGAAAAACAUUGAUUUGA